rnacentral:sRNA from 1 species
GCAUCCGUGGCCUGGGACUCAUGGUUCCAUGAUUGAUCCUGGUGACCCAUGGCUCUGGAUUAUAAAACUAUACUUUCUCAAACCUGUAUUUGGCAAAUCUAGGGGUGAAAUAAAACCAAAUGGAAGAGAAAAUCAAGACUGAUUUUCAGACUUUUAAGACAGCUCUCCUUUGUCCAUUCUAGGUGUUUUUCCACAGCAGGCAAAGAUGCAGUUGAAGAGACGGUCUGUGUGUCUGUUCUCAAGCUCUGGCAAGCAGUGUGCAGCGGGAACGAGGAAAACCAGCAUGUGCUAGUGAUGCACCAUGACAGGGCCAGGCUGUUGGCCGCCCUCUUGUCCUCCAAGGUCCUGGCCAUCCGGCAGCAGAGCCUUGCCCUGCUGCUGCAGCUCACCCAGACUGAGAGUGGACGGAGCCUGAUCAUCAACCACCUUGACCUGACCAGAUUAUUGGAAGCCCUGGUGUCAUUUCUUGAUUUCUCAGAUAAGGAGGCCAACACUGCUAUGGGACUGUUCACAGACUUGGCUCUGGAAGAAAGAUUCCAAGUCUGGUUCCAGGCCAACCUUCCAGGUGUUCUCCCUGCACUCACAGGCGUUCUGAAGACAGAUCCCAAAGUAAGCAGCUCCUCGGCUCUGUGCCAGUGCAUUGCCAUCAUGGGAAACCUCAGUGCUGAGCCUGCUACCCGAAGACACAUGGCGGCCUGUGAGGAAUUUGGGGAUGGCUGCUUGGACCUCCUGGCCAGGUGUGAGGAGGAUGUGGACCUGUUCAGAGAGGUUAUCUACACACUCCUGGGACUCAUGAUGAACCUGUGUCUUCAGGCUCCCUUUGUCUCUGAGGUUUGGGCUGUGGAGGUGAGCAGAAGGUGCCUGUCUUUACUAAACAGCCAGGAUGGAG